rnacentral:rRNA from 1 species
GACGAACGCUGGCGGCGUGCUUAACACAUGCAAGUCGAACGGAAAGGCCCUGCUUUUGUGGGGUGCUCGAGUGGCGAACGGGUGAGUAACACGUGAGUAACCUGCCCUUGACUUUGGGAUAACUUCAGGAAACUGGGGCUAAUACCGGAUAGGAGCUCCUGCUGCAUGGUGGGGGUUGGAAAGUUUCGGCGGUUGGGGAUGGACUCGCGGCUUAUCAGCUUGUUGGUGGGGUAGUGGCUUACCAAGGCUUUGACGGGUAGCCGGCCUGAGAGGGUGACCGGCCACAUUGGGCCUGAGAUACGGCCCAGACUCCUACGGGAGGCAGCAGUGGGGAAUAUUGCACAAUGGGCGGAAGCCUGAUGCAGCAACGCCGCGUGCGGGAUGCCGGCCUUCGGGGUGUAAACCGCUUUCGCCUGUGACGAAGCGUGAGUGACGGUAAUGGGUAAAGAAGCACCGGCUAACUACGUG